rnacentral:rRNA from 1 species
CGAGCGGAAGGCCCUUCGGGGUACUCGAGCGGCGAACGGGUGAGUAACACGUGAGCAACCUGCCCUAGGCUUUGGGAUAACCCCGGGAAACCGGGGCUAAUACCGAAUAGGACCUCUGACCGCAUGGUUGGUGGUGGAAAGUUUUUCGGCCUGGGAUGGGCUCGCGGCCUAUCAGCUUGUUGGUGGGGUGAUGGCCUACCAAGGCGACGACGGGUAGCCGGCCUGAGAGGGCGACCGGCCACACUGGGACUGAGACACGGCCCAGACUCCUACGGGAGGCAGCAGUGGGGAAUAUUGCACAAUGGGCGGAAGCCUGAUGCAGCGACGCCGCGUGAGGGAUGACGGCCUUCGGGUUGUAAACCUCUUUCAGCAGGGACGAAGCGUAAGUGACGGUACCUGCAGAAGAAGCACCGGCCAACUACGUGCCAGCAGCCGCGGUAAGACGUAGGGUGCGAGCGUUGUCCGGAUUUAUUGGGCGUAAAGAGCUCGUAGGCGGCUUGUCGCGUCGACUGUGAAAACCCGCAGCUCAACUGCGGGCCUGCAGUCGAUACGGGCAGGCUAGAGUUCGGUAGGGGAGACUGGAAUUCCUGGUGUAGCGGUGAAAUGCGCAGAUAUCAGGAGGAACACCGGUGGCGAAGGCGGGUCUCUGGGCCGAUACUGACGCUGAGGAGCGAAAGCGUGGGGAGCGAACAGGAUUAGAUACCCUGGUAGUCCACGCUGUAAACGUUGGGCGCUAGGUGUGGGGGGCCUCUCCGGUUCCCUGUGCCGCAGCUAACGCAU